rnacentral:rRNA from 1 species
UGGGUUGAAAACUCCGGUGGUUGAUGAUGGGCAUGCGUUGUAUUAGCUGGUUGGUGAGGUAACGGCUCACCAAGGCGACGAUACAUAGGGGGACUGAGAGGUUAACCCCCCACAUUGGUACUGAGACACGGACCAAACUCCUACGGAAGGCAGCAG